GAACCAAAGGUCUCUAGAACUUGCUUUAGUGAACAAACAGCUACCCGAGGGACUGGGGGGGAGUGGUUGUUAUGCUCACUUCACUGGAUAAUUAGGCAGCAGUUGGUUCCUGUGUUUCUCCUCUGAGGCCACUGAGAGGAGGACUUCCCCCGGCCACUGUCACAUCAGCAAGGGAGCUAAGUCUUUGUUGCUGCUCACUCUUUUCUUUUUCUUUUGAAGGAACAACAGCCACAGUUACAAUGUUAUCUUGGCUGGCCACCAUGUGGGCACCGUGAAUCUUAACAAUCUUUAAUAUUUACCAAGAAUGGGGGUCGAUGUGGUGUCACACAGUUCAUUUGUUCCUUAAAAUCUCCUGCACAGAGACCUUCUCAGAUGUUAGCCAUUGUUAAGAGGCCCAGUCAUGUUGAUGCCUUCUUUAAAUAUUUUGUGCACUUAGAGAUUGUAGUCAAAUGAAAUCUCUGAUUGUGCGAUAGAUGAUGUGUUUGAGUCUCCAAGCUUCGUUUACGCCUUUUAUCACUCAUAACAGAGUCUCACCUUUUAAUAAUGUCCCCGCCCCACAGGGUAGCUGCUUUCACUUUAAAAAAAAAAUACGUUCUGAGAAAUUGUUCUGAGUCAUUUUGUAAUUUCCUCUCUAGUCUCCACUCUGAGUAGACUUAGGUGCCACUCUCUGUGCCGGGCUGGGCGAUGAAGGGAAGAGAAUCAUGGGGAAAUUUCCUAGGAACGCUGCCCACGAGCACACCUUAUAGUGUUUUCACAUCUCAAAUACCAGCUUCUACUUGCUGAGAGCCAAGAUUGGAUUACUGGUUUUGUAAAUCGGUCUCCUGCUGUUCUUCAUAAUAGCACGAAGAACAGGGCAACAAAAAAUAUAUUUUUUACUAAUAUGGGAAACGGGAGAAAAUUGAAGGUGAGGCAACCAGGAACCCACAUGGAUUACAAAAAGAAACAAAAUAUACUUCUUAGGGAACCAGAGAAGAGGAGAGAGGAUGCAGCUGGGGUACAGUCUGGCUGGAGGUAGUUGGGCAGAGCUGUGCUGAGCAAGGCUGGACACGGCCUGAACUCUUCCACCUGAGCAUGAGGGAGUCCUCCCCGGGGACUCACCUGGACGUCCGCAGUCUCCUAGAUACAGUAGACACUUCGCCUACCCACAAAGUUCUGGCUAACAACGAUUUGUCAAAGCUCUAGUCUGUCAAGAAUUUGAUUACAAUCGAUGUUAUUAUUGAUGUAUUUUCUCUUCAAAUAAAGUGACAAAGAUAGAAAAAA